ensembl:lncRNA
CGCGUAGAAAACGUUAGAAACGGCAGGUUGAUUGGGAGUGCAGACUGUCACUACCCCAGAGAAAGGCUUCUUGCAUGUUGGUUCCCCAGCAGAGGCAUCGCUUGAAAAGCAAUGUGAAGCCAUAAAAAGAAAAAAAAUAAGGUGAUGAGGGCUCAUCAAAUAAGGGAGGAGCCUUGGUUAUAUGAAGAAAAGAGCAGAGAAGGUGUUGAACCAGAGCAACAUUUGAGAAAGAUUGUCAAGAUAUGAUGGGUGAUCUGGCCUCAAUUGGCCAAGCACAAGCCCACAAGGAUGCAAUGCGUUGGCUGUAAGGACCUACAAGAACAUGCGGGUCUGGGUAGGAGGCAUACGAGAGGACAAUGCUUUAAUUUGGCUCAAGGAUGGUGAUCGUAAAACCGACAACUGGCUGAAGGGCCAGCCAGACUUUUCAGGUGGCAAAGAAUUCUGUGUGGACUUGUGGGGAUACUGGUCCAUUUUUUGUGCAUGAAGAAGGAAUGGAGUACAAAACCUGACAAGACUUGUAAUAAAUUGCUUAAGAAUAAACAUAAUAAAUACUAAAGGAAUGGGCGUAGAAAACGACAAUCGCUGCGAGUUCAAGAAGCCAUUCGUCUGUGAAUAUAACUUAGUGAAUGGGCUUAUAAAACAACGAUCGCUGCCAUAUCAAGAAGCCAUUCAUCUGUCAAGUUCCGAAGUAGUAGAAUCAUUUCUGUAUGUUUUUCCCACAUUGGCUGUCUAAAUAAACAACAGACAUUAACAUGUUUGAU